GAUGAAGAACGCAGCGAAAUGCGAUACGUGAUGUGAAUUGCAGAAUUCAGUGAAUCAUCGAGUCUUUGAACGCACAUUGCGCCCCCUGGUAUUCCGGGGGGCAUGCCUGUCCGAGCGUCAUUGCUGCCCUCAAGCACGGCUUGUGUGUUGGGCCUCCGCCCCCCGGCUCCCGGGGGGCGGGCCCGAAAGGCAGCGGCGGCACCGCGUCCGGUCCUCGAGCGUAUGGGGCUUCGUCACCCGCUCCGUAGGCCCGGCCGGCGCCCGCCGGCGACCCCCCUCAAUCUUUCCAGGUUGACCUCGGAUCAGGUAGGGAUACCCGCUGAACUUAAGCAUAUCAAUAAGCGGAGGA
rnacentral:misc_RNA from 1 species